CACAAAUGAUGAACUUCUGACAGGCAGACAGAAAAUCUGUGCUGAUUGUCACCGAAGAAAAUUA